UACGUAGGGCGCGAGCGUUGUCCGGAUUUAUUGGGCGUAAAGAGCUCGUAGGCGGCUUGUCGCGUCGACUGUGAAAACUUGGGGCUCAACCCCAAGCUUGCAGUCGAUACGGGCAGGCUAGAGUUCGGUAGGGGAGACUGGAAUUCCUGGUGUAGCGGUGAAAUGCGCAGAUAUCAGGAGGAACACCGAUGGCGAAGGCAGGUCUCUGGGCCGAUACUGACGCUGAGGAGCGAAAGCGUGGGGAGCGAACAGG
rnacentral:rRNA from 1 species